rnacentral:rRNA from 1 species
UACGUAGGGUGCGAGCGUUAAUCGGAAUUACUGGGCGUAAAGCGUGCGCAGGCGGUUUUGUAAGCCAGAUGUGAAAUCCCCGGGCUUAACCUGGGAAUGACAUUUGGGACUGCAAGGCUGGAGUGUGGCAGAGGAGACUGGAAUUCCCGGUGUAGCAGUGAAAUGCGUAGAUAUCGGGAGGAAUACCGAUGGCGAAGGCAGGUCUCUGGGCUGACACUGACGCUCAUGCACGAAAGUGUGGGGAGCAAACAGG